rnacentral:rRNA from 1 species
UACGGGGGGGGCAAGCGUUGUUCGGAAUUACUGGGCGUAAAGGGCGCGUAGGCGGCCUUCUAAGUCAGACGUGAAAUCCCUCGGCUCAACCGAGGAACUGCGUCUGAUACUGGAAGGCUUGAAUCCGGGAGAGGGAUGUGGAAUUCCAGGUGUAGCGGUGAAAUGCGUAGAUAUCUGGAGGAACACCGGUGGCGAAGGCGGGUCUCUGGGCAGUAACUGACGCUGAGGCGCGAAAGCGUGGGGAGCGAACAGG